AAGUGAAGUCAUUGAUUGAACUGCAUGUAUAGUUGCGGGAAGUUUUGACUCAAAAAUGGAUCAAAAUUACUUCGCUCACUUUCUUCCCAUAGUGUACAGUUACAACUGUCGUCAGUAAUCUGUAAUCAUGCUUCGUUUCACAUUAAGACCGACAAUGGCUAGGACGAAGAUGGACUAAAUAAUGUUUUUGCAAAAGAAAAAAAAUUCUUCCUUCUGAUCCCACUAGAAUAUAUGAGAUGACUGCUAAUACUGUGCCACUAUCAAAUGCCGAGAAGGAAGUGAGAAAAAUACUGGAUGAAGCUAUUAGUGCCUGUGUCACUGCUUCCACUCCAGCCGUUCGCAGUACCAGCACAGCAAGGCCA